rnacentral:lncRNA from 1 species
GGCCAAUUAUCUCCCAUUCUACAUACAAAAGUAUAUAGAAACUAUAUAUUUUUGGAAUCAGUGUGAAAGAAGCUAUCAUAUGAGACCGGAUGUGACAUUCAUUUCACCGGAAGUAGCAUAUUAUCUCCCUUAUAUCACUCAAAAAGAUAAUUAAACCAUCAUUUUUCGCAUCAGUAUAAAGAAACUACCUUCUUAUCCAAAUUUCUUUGGUGUGGAAAGACUUUCAAUUGUUCUCUGAACAAUUGGUUUUUAAUUAUUAUUAUUAUUUUUUUCUUCCGCCAAAUUUUGUUCUUGCGCAUAAAUGUUUGUUUCGCAAUAUGUCGCUUAGAUAUUUCUCAUAUGGUAUCGUAUAGUUUAUGCGCUUUUAAAUUUCACCCUGCUAAGGCGAACCAUUUUCUAUGUAAGAGUUAUCUCCCUUUUCACUGUUUAUCCUCUGUGUGCAUCUCCUUCGUAACAAAAAAGAUAGCGACAAAAUUCUUUUUACAAAUUGUUCGUUACAUCCUCAGUAAUUUUUGGCGUAUUUGGAUCGAAGCGAUUCGAUGAAAUUUUAUAGGAGUUAUCUACCUUUACGGAAUAAAUUUGUCGGUAUGUUUUUUUAAACUCAUAAACCGUUAACCGUAUAACCCUGGAAUGUUUUUAUUUGAGUCCCCUGGGUCCUAACUUAGAAAAUUAGGUCAAGGUCAAAGGUCAAGGUCAUAUUUUAGAUUUUUAUAAGUUUUUCAUUUCCCUAUAAUUCUUGAACGGUUAUAGAUACAAAAAUAUUAAGCAGUGAAAAAUGCUUGGUACUUUAAGGGGCAACUUUUUUACAUUAUGACUAUAUUGAUUUUACCAUCAUAUAAGGGACAUAACUCCCAUCGAUGGUUUUUAAAAAGCCAUUUUUAGGCAAAACUCUUAAACAAAAGGUCCUUGACCCAUAGGGUCUUUUGCAAUGACCUUGUGGAGCAAUGACCUUGACGAAGGUCACAAGGUCAAAGGUCAAGGUCAUCAAAUUAUGUGGUUUUGGCACUAUUUAAACAGUUUUAUGAGUGUUUGAAUUUCAACCAACCAACCAACCAACCAACCAACCAACCAACCAACCAAUCAAUCAAUCAAUCAAUCAAUCAAUCAAUCAAUCAAUCAAUCAAUCAAUCAAUGUUUCCGUUUCAUGUGUUUGAUACGGGAUUCAAGGUCUCUUUUUUUCCGCUUGUUUUAAUUGAGCCUAUCAAACGUGUUUAACCAACAUGUUUAACCAACAUGUUUAACCAACGUGUUUAACCAACCAACCAACCAACCAACCAACCAACAACCAACCAAUCAAUCAAUCAAUCAAUCAAUGCAUGUUUCCGUUUCAUGUGUUAAAUACGGGAUCCAAGAUGUUUUUUUUUCGCUCGUUUAAAUUGAGCCUAUCUAACGUGUUUAACCAGCCAACGUGUUUAACCAACGUGUUUAACCAACAUGUUUAACCAACGUGUUUAACCAACCAACCAACAACCAACCAACCAACCAUCCACCAACCAACCAACCAACCAACCAACCAACCAAUCAAUCAAUCAAUGCAUGUUUCCGUUUCAUGUGUUAAAUACGGGAUCCAAGAUGUUUUUUUUCGCUUGUUUAAAUUGAGCCUAUCUAACGUGUUUAACCAGCCAACGUGUUUAACCAACGUGUUUAACCAACAUGUUUAACCAACCAACCAACCAACCAACCAACCAACCAACCAACCAAUCAACCAAUCAAUGCAUGUUUCCGUUUCAUGUGUUAAAUACGGGAUCCAAGAUGGUUUUUUUCGCUUGUUAAAAUUGAGCCUAUCAAACGUGUUUAAACUACGUGUUUAACCAGCAUGUUUAACUAACGUGUUUAACCAGCAUGUUUAACCAACGUGUUUAAUCAACCAACCAACCAACCAACCAACCAACCAACCAACCAACCAACCAAUAAAUCAAUGCAUGUUUCCGUUUCAUGUGUUAAAUACGGGAUCCAAGAUGUUUUUUUUUUUCGCUUGUUUAAAUUGAGCCUAUCAAACGUGUUUAACCAGCCAACGUGUUUAACCAACGUGUUUAACCAACGUGUUUAACCAACCAACCAACCAACCAACCAACCAACCAAUCAACCAAUCAAUGCAUGUUUCCGUUUCAUGUGUUAAAUACGGGAUCCAAGAUGUUUUUUUUCGCUUGUUUAAAUUGAGCCUUUCCAACGUGUUUAACCAGCCAACGUGUUUAACCAACGUGUUCAACCAACAUGUUUAACCAACGUGUUUAACCAACCAACCAACCAAUCAAUCACUUAAUGUAUGUUUCCGUGUCAUGCGUUUAAUACGGGAUGCAAGGUCUCUUGAGGUUUUUUUUCCCUUGUUCUAAGUGACCCUAUCAAACGUGUUUAAUCAACCAACCAACCAACCAACCAACCAAUCAAUCAACCA